UGAAUAAUUCAUCUGUAGACAAGGGGGAAAAUAAAGACUGAUUUUACGCUUUGUUGCUUUCACUUAAACCCUAAAUCUCUCCGUCUCGAUCGCAACCUCUGUUUCUUUCGCAAUGGCGGAUUCUCCUCGAAGAAGGGAUUCACGGUCUCCUUCACCCCGAAAAGAACGAGCUAGAUCCAGGUCCAGGUCUAGAUCCAGGUCAAGAUCUUUGCCAAGGCCUAUAUCUCCAUCGAGAAGCCGCGGAAGGUCAAGGUCAAGAAGCCGUGGAAGAAGUGAAGUUGAAAACCCUGGUACCACUCUCUAUGUGACUGGCCUAUCUACAAGAGUCACUGACAAGGAUCUUGAAGCACAUUUCGCCAAGGAAGGAAAGGUUGCGUCUUGUUUUCUUGUGAUGGAGCCGCGCACCCGUGUGUCUCGUGGUUUUGCCUUUGUUACAAUGGAUAGCGUUAAAGAUGCUGAGCGGUGCAUUAAAUAUCUCAACCAGUCUGUUCUAGAAGGCCGAUACAUAACUGUCGAAAGGAAAAUAUUGCAUCAAGCAACAAUCAGAGAUGAUAAGAGUACUCAUCCUUGCUCAACAUCAUUAAGUGAAACACAGCUUGAUCAAUCAAAUCGCCAGCUUAAACAGCUUUUCCAAAUGAUCUGAUCCCACUAAUCAUAAGCAACUAUAUUGCCUCAACUCUCAACUAUCAACUAGUCAAAGGACCUUAUCAAGUAUCAACAACUAUUAGUCAAGUGUUUCUCCAGCCUAGGAUGCAUCUUGUUUCCUUGAAUAUACCUAUGGCUUUUCUAGAUUGAAAGUUGUGUUCCAUUACAUGAGGUUUAUGUACUUUGUGCUAUCUUCAGUCUAGGAGAAAGCGCCCCAGAACUCCCACCCCAGGCCACUAUCUUGGCUUGAAAAGCUCCAGAGACGGCGAUCGAGAUGGCCGUAGCAGUCGAGGGAGGCACUAUGAUCGUGAUGAUUAUAGAGACCGUAGGUCACCAAGACGCGACUAUUCACCUCGUGACGAAAGAAGGUCUAGAAGAGAUCGGUCUUACUCUCCUCAUGGAAGAAGCCCAGAAAGAAGAUCAGAGAGAAGGUCGGAGAGGUCAGAGAGAAGGUAUGAACCCCGUGGCUCGAGAUGACCUGUUUCAUCCUCUUGACAAAGGAUUAAACAACAACUCUGUUGAUUUAGGUUGUGUAAUUGAUCAUCCUUAAAAUAGCACAAAGAUUCUGUCAGGCGACGCUUUGGGUUUCAUGUCUUUUCUGUUAACGUUUUAUUCUGUCGGAACUCUGUGAAGUGAAAAACUACCACCUGUAAUACCGUUUCUGUUCUGUCUCUAUUCUCUACUUGUUAUUGAAUGAAUCAGAAUAUCUUGUGUGACUA